rnacentral:rRNA from 1 species
AAACCAACAGGGAUUGCCUCAGUAACGGCGAGUGAAGCGGCAAGAGCUCAAAUUUGAAAUCUGGAGCCUUCGGCUUCCGAGUUGUAAUUUGAAGAGGAUGUUUCGGUCGCGGCCUGGGCCUAAGUUCCUUGGAACAGGACGUCAUGGAGGGUGAGAAUCCCGUACAUGGCUGCAGGCUUGCUUCUAUGUGAAACUCCUUCGACGAGUCGAGUUGUUUGGGAAUGCAGCUCAAAAUGGGUGGUAAAUUUCAUCUAAAGCUAAAUAUUGGCGGGAGACCGAUAGCGCACAAGUAGAGUGAUCGAAAGAUGAAAAGCACUUUGAAAAGAGAGUUAAACAGUACGUGAAAUUGUUGAAAGGGAAGCGCUUGCGAUCAGACUCGCUUUCGGUUGAUCAACGUUCCUUCUGGUUCGUGCACUCUGCCGUUUGCGGGCCAGCAUCGGUUGGGGCGGCGGGACAAAGGCUUCGGGAAUGUGGCUCUCUUCGGGGAGUGUUAUAGCCCGUCGCGUCAUGCCGCCAGCUCCGACCGAGGUCCGCGGUUCGCCUAGGAUGCUGGCUUAAUGGUCGUAAGCGACCCGUCUUGAAACACGGACCAAGGAGUCUAACAUCUAUGCGAGUCUUUGGGUGUCAAACCCAUGGGCGAAAUGAAAGUGAACGGAGGUGGGAGUCCUCGGAUGCACCAUCGACCGAUCCUGAUGUUCUCGGAUGGAUUUGAGUAUGAGCAUAGCUGUUGGGACCCGAAAGAUGGUGAACUAUGCCUGAAUAGGGUGAAGCCAGAGGAAACUCUGGUGGAGGCUCGCAGCGGUUCUGACGUGCAAAUCGAUCGUCAAAUUUGGGUAUAGGGGCGAAAGACUAAUCGAACCAUCUAGUAGCUG